AUGAGGGGGAGGACAGGGGGGUACCCUUCUCCCUUCUCCCACCCCUCUUCUCCUGUCUCCUACCCUCGUUCUCCUUUCUCCCAUUAGAAUAAAACAUCUCCUUUUGAGAUAUUUUUUCUUGAAAUAUUAGAAAUUUUUUUAAAAGGAGAGAUAUUUUAUUUUCUCUCCUUUCUCCACCUUUUUCUCCUUUCUCCCACCCUUCCUCUCCUUUCUCCUUUCUCCCACCCCCUUUCUCCUUUCUCCUACCCCCUUUCUCCCUGUCUCCCUUACCCCUGUCCUCCCCCUC
rnacentral:lncRNA from 1 species